ensembl:snRNA U6 U6 spliceosomal RNA
GUUUACUUCUCGCUUCGGUAGCACAUAUACUAAAAUUGGAACAAUACAGAGAAGAUUAGCAAGGCCCCUGGGCAAGGAUAACAUGCAAAUUCAUGAAGUAUUCCAUAUUUUU